rnacentral:rRNA from 1 species
UACGUAGGUGGCAAGCGUUGUCCGGAUUUAUUGGGUUUAAAGGGUGCGUAGGCGGUUCCAUGAGUCAGUGGUGAAAUACGGCAGCUCAACUGUCGAGGUGCCAUUGAUACUGCGGAACUUGAGUACUGAUGAGGUAGGCGGAAUUGACGGUGUAGCGGUGAAAUGCUUAGAUAUCGUCAAGAACACCGAUAGCGAAGGCAGCUUACCAAGCAGUAACUGACGCUGAGGCACGAAAGCGUGGGGAGCAAACAGG